rnacentral:rRNA from 1 species
AUCAGUUAUUGUUUAUUUGAUGGUACCUUUACUACUUGGAUAACCGUGGUAAUUCUAGAGCUAAUACAUGCUAAAAACCCCGACUCAAGAAGGGGUGUAUUUAUUAGAUUCAAACCAGUGUCCCUCGGGACUUUUUGGUGACUCAUAAUAACUUAACGCAGCGCAUGGCCUUCGUGCCGGCGCGGGAUCAUUCAAAUACCUGCCCUAUCAAGUUUCGAUGUGAGGGUAGUGUCCUCACAUGCUUUUGACGGGUAACGGGGAAUUAGGGUUCGACUCCGGAGAGGGAGCCUGAGAAACGGCUACCACAUCCAAGGAAGGCAGCAGGCGCGCAAAUUACCCAAUCCCGAUACGGGGAGGUAGUGACAAGAAAUACCGAUUCAGGAUCUUAUUGGAUCUUGAGAUUGGAAUGAGUACAAUUCAAACCCAUUAACGAGGAACAACUAGAGGGCAAGUCUGGUGCCAGCAGCCGCGGUAAUUCCAGCUCUAGUAGCGUAUAUUAAAAUUGUUGCAGUUAAAACGCUCGUAGUUGAACUUUGGGCUUGGCUGGCUGGUCCGCCUCACCGCGAGCACUGGUCCGGCUGGGCCUUUCCUCUUGGGGAUCCACAUGCCCUUCACUUGGGUGUGUUGGGGAACCAGGACUUUUACUUUGAAAAAAUUAGGGUGUUCAAAGCAGGCAUUUGCUCGAAUACAUUAGCAUGGGAUAAUAGAAUAGGACGUGUGGUCUUAUUUUGUUGGUUUCUAGGACCGCCGUAAUGAUUGAUAGGGAUAGUUGGGGGCAUCGGUAUUCAAUUGUCAGAGGUGAAAUUCUUGGAUUUAUUGAAGACCAACUACUGCGAAAGCAUUUGCCAAAGAUGUUUUCAUUAAUCAGGGAACGAAAGUUAGGGGAUCGAAGAUGAUCAGAUACCGUCGUAGUCUUAACCGUAAACUAUGCCGACUAGG